UUGUUAAAAAUUGUCAAUUUUGUAAGCUUUUGAUCGUAAGGUAAAUGAUGUCGAAAAAUUAUGAAAUUUAAUUUUUAGAAGUUUUAAAUGCUCUAGAUAAUAUUUAAUGGUAUAGAUCGUCGAUUCAGAAGCUCUAUCAUCGAAAACAACUUAUGAUCCCCUAGCGCUAAGUUACUAAUUGUCCCUAGCGCAAGUGGCAAAGGGUUUAGUGGUUGAUACCCGAGGUCCCGAAUUCGAAUCAUAUUUGAUUCACAUUUUCAGCUAAGUUUAUUUCUA
rnacentral:lncRNA from 1 species